AUUGAACGCUGGCGGCAGGCCUAACACAUGCAAGUCGAGCGAGCGGCGGACGGGUGAGUAAUGCCUAGGAAUCUGCCUGGUAGCGGGGGAUAACUACUGGAAACGGUAGCUAAUACCACAUACCAUCAGAUGUGCCGAGAUGGGAUUUGGUUGUUGGUGGGGUAAGGGAUCACCAAGCCGACGAUCCCUAGCUGGUCUGAGAGGAUGACCAGCCACACUGGAACUGAGACACGGUCCAGACUCCUACGGGAGGCAGCAGUGGGGAAUAUUGCACAAGGGGCGCAAGCCUGAUGCAGCCAUGCCGCGUGUAUGAAGAAGGCCUUCGGGUUGUAAAGUACUUUCAGCGGGGAGGCGUUACCCGCAGAAGAAGCACCGGCUAACUCCGUGCCAGCAGCCGCGGUAAUUC
rnacentral:rRNA from 1 species